rnacentral:lncRNA from 1 species
AAUAUAGAAUAUAUUUAUUAAUAAAUAUAUUCUAUAUUUUGAAUUGGUUAGUCAAUUGAAAGAUUCCUCAUAAGAAUGAUACCUCUUAGAAGUAGAUACUAGUUCUUAUGUCAAUUGCAAAAUAUCUAGUUGUUUUCAAUUCUAAAUUAAAAAAGGGGGCGCUCGUUGGACUAAAUAAAGGGACGGAAGAAGGCGAAUCCAUAUGUUAAUCCAAAUGAAGAAUAAAUUGUAGGAGUUAAAUCGGAAUAUCUAUAUAGAAAGAAUAUAUAUAUAUAUAAAGCAAUAGCAGCAAUGAAAGUCCACGGAAAAAACAAUAUGUAUUUUUCUUUUUCUAUUUGUUUAAAAGAUUAAACAAAAGGAUUGGCAAAUAAAAGUGCUAAUGCUACAACCAGCCCAUAAAUAGUUAAAGCUUCCAUAAAAGCCAGACUAAGUAAUAAAGUACCCCUUAUUUUGUCCUCUGCUUCCGGUUGUCGCGCAAUCCCUUCUACAGCUUGCCCUGCAGCUGUACCUUGACCAACUCCAGGUCCAAUAGAAGCAAGCCCGACGGCCAACCCAGCAGCGAUAACAGAAGCAGCAGAAAUCAGUGGAUCCAUGAUAAGUUUCUCCUAUUCCAAAUAAAAUAAAGAAAAGAAAUAGUUAAUAAUAUAAUCAACCAAGAAAUUAUGACUUAAUUAUUUCAUUCUUCAUUUAUCUAGUCGAAGUUUAAUUCAUGAAUAAUUUUUAUUGAAUUAUCCAAAUAACUUCGAUAUUCAUUUUUUUUUUUUCGUUUCUAUCCAUGUAGUUUUUUGUGAAUACAUACAAUUUUUGUUCUUAUCUUAAAUUUUGAACCAUUCUUUUAAUUCUUCGUUCUUUCUUUUUCUUUAUUUCCAUUUUUGAGUUAUUCAAUACCUAAAUUUAGAGUAGUAGCAGGACGAAUUUAGAUAGUCAUAUAUAACUAAUGAAUAUCUACUAUGACAUAUACAUGUGUUUGUUCGAUACCGUAAACCAAUUAGUUAUACCUUAGAUUCAAUAGGAUUCGAGAAUCAUUCUUGGAAACCCCUAAAAAACUAAGAGUUGUCUUAUAACGAUUAGAUUCUAUAUACACUUAGUUCGACCCCCUCACCCUAUUUUUUGUCCUUUGUUUUAUUCAUUAUUAUCCCAUAUGGAUUAUCCCAUAUGGAUCGAAUUAAUCUAAAUCAAUUCGAAAGACCAAAUUAUUACUGUGGAAAUAUUCGAAUUUUAUUUUAGGAAAAUCAAAUAAACUUUUGUCAAUUAUUAAAUGUGAAUGAAUGAAACGGAAAUAUUUUGUAGUUCGAUAUAACAUCUUUUUUUUUGAAUCACAUGUCGUAAACAACGUAGAUAUCAUCCGAAAUUAUAGUUCCCAAUCUAAUAUUUCUAAUAUUAAUUAAAUAUAAUAUACUAAUAAUUAAUAUACUAAUCAUUAAAUAUAUUAAAUAUACUAAUCAAUUUUGACAUCUAAUAAGAAUUUUAAUUAAUUAAUUAAUAUACUAAUAACAAAGGUUGAAUAUGUUUAUAGUUCUAAUUGAAUGAACAAAAUAAUAAAUCAAAAUAAUAUUCAUUGGAGUAAAAUACAAAUUGAUCAAAAAAAGAUUAUUUUGAUAACUAAUCAAUGAUGGCCUUCCAUGGAUUCACCUAUAUAAGCCGCAGCUAAGGUAGCAAAAAUAAGAGCUUGAAUACCGCUUGUAAAUAAUCCCAGAAACAUAACUGGUAUAGGAACUACUAAAGGUACUAACGAAACAAGAACAACAACUACUAAUUCAUCAGCUAAUAUAUUUCCGAAAAGUCGAAAACUAAGCGAUAAGGGUUUUGUAAAAUCUUCUAAGAUGUUAAUCGGUAAAAGGAUUGGAGUUGGUUGGAUGUAUUUACCAAAAUAAGCCAAUCCUUUUUUUGAAAUACCCGCAUAGAAAUAGGCUACUGACGUAAGUAAAGCUAAUGCAACAGUAGUAUUUAUAUCAUUUGUGGGUGCAGCUAAUUCUCCAUGAGGUAACUUUAUAAUUUUCCAAGGCAAAAGAGCCCCUGACCAAUUCGAAACAAAAAUAAAUAGGAACAAAGUUCCAAUAAACGGAACCCACGGACCAUAUUCUUCUCCAAUCUGAGUUUUGCUCACGUCUCGGAUGAAUUCAAGGACAUAUUCAAAGAAAUUCUGACCGGACGUUGGAAUAGUUUGCGGAUUUCUAACAACUAGAAUGGUUGAAAUUAAUAAGAUAGCAAUUACAACCCAAGAGGUAAUAAGUACUUGAGCAUGCACUUGAAAAUCCCCUAUUUGCCAAUAGAAAUGUUGACCUACUUCGACAGCAGAUAUAUCAUAGAUUAAUGUGUUGAUGUAACAUAAUAGAACAUUCAUAUUGCCCUGCCCUCUAAAAAAAAUAUAUAUAUAUAACUUGAAAGGGAAUUAUUUUGAUUCAACCAUUUCCUUAUUUGACUUUCAUUUCCUUUUCUAUUUUAUUUUGAAUACCUACUAAUCACAAAAUAUUUAUUUUUGCACAAUUUUGUAAUGCUAUAAUAACCGAUUCCAUAAAUCUACGACCGCCCAACCAAAUCUAACAAUUUCUUUAUCUUAUUAUUAAUCAAAAAUUUCGUAUAUAGCUAGAACGACCCUCACAAAUUGCAAAAACUAAUUUGUUAAGAAUUAAUCGGAUUGAAGCUAUAGCAUCAUCAUUAGCUGGAAUCGAAAUAUCUGCUAGAUCUGGGUCACAAUUUGUAUCGAUUAAACAAAUCGUUGGAAUUCCCAAAGUGAUACAUUCUUGAAGAGCCGUAUAUUCUUCUUGCUGAUCAAGGAUUAUUACUAUAUCGGGUAACCCUGUCAUAUAUUUUAUGCCACCCAGAUAUGUUUCCAAAUGAGAUAAUUGUCUCUUGAACAUAGCGGCAUCUCUUUUUGGAAGAGAGUUCAGUUUCCCUGUCUUUUGCUCCGUUCUCAAGUCCCUGAACUUACGAAGUCUCGUUUCUGUAGUAUACCAAUUCGUUAACAUACCUCCGAGCCAUUUUUUAUUAACAUAAUGACAUCGAGCUCUUAUUGCAGCCCGUCUUACUGAAUAGGCUGCUUUUUUUUUUGUACCAACAAUUAAGAAUUGUUUUCCUAUGCUUGCUGCAUCAAAAACCAAAUCACAAACUUCUGAUAAAAAACGAGCAGUUCGAGUAAGAUUUGUAAUAUGAAUACCUUUACGCUUUGCCGAUAUAAAAGGUGCCAUUCGAGGAUUCCAUUUCCGAGUAUCAUGGCCAAAAUGAACUCCAGCUUCCAUCAUCUCUUCAAAAGUUAUGUUCCAAUAUCUUUUUGUCAUUUAUCCCCACACGUUUUUUUUUAAGUGAAAAAAACGAGACCAGGUAUCCUGAAAUAGCAAUAAAUAAUUGUUCCGAUGGAACCUUCUCUUUUCUAGACGAUUGGCCGUUAAUAUAUAAUCAGGUCAUUCAUUUUUUUCUAUUUAUUAUACUUUAUUACCAAAAUUACCCAAUCAAAUGACUGCAUUUAAAGGGAUGAAUUGAAUGCUUCCUAAAAGCGCAUUCAAUCCUAUAGUUCUAAUGUAUCAGAGAAAAUUAUUUGAAAUGAAAAGAAUCAAAUAAAUUUCUGUGAUGGAACAAAAGAUUUCGAAUUUCUACUUCGAAUAAUUUUUUUUUUUUUCAAGGUAAUUUUGUUAUAUUGCCUUGACCGUGAACGGUGCAUUAUUCUUUUGAAUCCGGUACCAACGGGUAUCAUUCCCCCUAAAACAACAUUCUCUUUAAGACCUUUCAACCAAUCAAUACGACCCCGAAGAGCGGCUUUUGCUAAAACUCUAGCAGUUUCUUGAAAACUCGCUUCGGAUAUGAAACUUUGAGUAUUCAGAGAUGUUUUUGUUAUUCCCAAUAAUAAAGCUCGGUAACAAAUUGCUUCUUCCAAGGCACGCCCAGUUCGUUCUGCUCGCAAUAAUCCAAUUAAUUCACCGGGUAAAAAUACAUUAGACAUUCCAUCUUCUGAAACCAAGACUUUGGAUGUUAUUUGACGCACAAUAAUUUCGAUAUGUCUAUUAUGGAUGUGUACUCCCUGGGAUCGAUAAACCUUUUGGAUUUUAUUAACCAAAGAAAUACGACUUUGCGCUAUAGUUAGCUCAGCACCAAUCAAGAAUCCCCAAGGAAUGCCGAGAAUUCUUGUUAUACACUCAUUCCAAGCAUCAAUUCUUUUUUCGAGAUUCAUCGAUAUUGAAUCAAUCGAACGUAUUUCUAAUAUCUGUUCCACUUUUGGAAGACCUUGUGUUAUAUCACUGGAUCUCGAUUUUUCAUAUAUGAAUGUAACUAAAAUAUCUCCUUGAUAAAGGAUUUCUCCAUAAUGGCCAUGAAUGGUUGCUUCUGGAGUCGCCAAAUAUGGGUUAGCCGAUCUUAUUAUUACAGAAUCCAUUUGAACAGUUAUAACUUGACCCGAUUUUAGUUUUAGAUGUGGUCCAUUUUUCAUUUUAGCUAUACAUAUAUUUUCACAAAUAAAUUGUCCAAGACUAAUUAUUGUAAACGUUUUUUCACAAUAAUAAUGAUGGAGAAAAUACCAAUUCAAAUGGAAUGGAUUCAAAACGAUAUUACUGUCUAGAUCGGGUUUAAAAAUUUUAUCAUUUUCGUCCAUUAAAUAAUAUUUAAUUACUUGAAAAAUUUCCGUUAUUUUGUCAAGUUGGAAAUUUUUCAUUAUUGAUAUUUGAUUAUGAGUUAUUAAAUGGUAAAGUGAAUAAAAAUUUCCAACUUGACGGGCUAUUCCUAAAGGACCUAAUGAAUUAUUAUUAUUAAUUGGAAUUUUAGGAUUUUUUUUUAUCCCAUUGUGAUAUUUAACAUUGUUGAAUGGUCUUAUUUGAAAACAAUUAGAUGAUGACAAAAUUAUCCAAGAUCGGCAUUCCUUAUUUCUAUUCAACAACAUACGAAUAGUUCCGUGAUUUUGGCUAAGUGAUUUUUUAAUUUUUGCCUUGUAAUGAAUGGAAAAAAAUGGAUUGAUAUUGAUCCGAUCCGAUUCAUUAUCCGCGAUCAAUCCUAAACCAGAUGGGUCAUUUCUU